GGAGGUAGUGACAAUAAAUCACAAUGCGGAACUAUUAGUUUUGCAAUUGGAUUGAGAACAAUGUACAAAUGUUAUCGAUAAACAAUUGGAGGGCAAGUCUGGUGCCAGCAGCCGCGGUAAUUCCAGCUCCAAUAGCGUAUAUUAACGUUGUUGCAGUUAAAAAGCUCGUAGUUGAAUUGAAGUGAACUUGGAUUGAUGUGAUCUUCGGAUGACGUGAAUCAAAGUUGACUCUUUCCAAAGUCAAUACAUUGGUAUUCAUUUAUCUUUGUAUUGUGUUUGGUCAUUUACUGUGAGAAAAUUAGAGUGUUCAAAGCAGACGUUUGUUUGAAUACAUUAGCAUGGAAUAAUCAUAUAAGGCUUUCAUGUUGAUUUGAUUGGUUUGAAUAUGGAAGCAAGAUUAAAAGGGACAGUUGGGGGUAUUCAUAUUCAAUAGUCAGAGGUGAAAUUCUGGGAUUUAUGGAAGAUGAACAAGUGCGAAAGCA
rnacentral:rRNA from 1 species